GACGAACGCUGGCGGCGUGCUUAACACAUGCAAGUCGAACGGAAAGGCCCUGCUUUUGUGGGGUGCUCGAGUGGCGCACGGGUGAGUAACACGUGAGUAAACUGUCCUUGACUUUGGGAUAACUUCUGGAAACAGGGGCUAAAACCGGAUAGGAGCUCCUGCUGCAUGGUGGGGGUUGGAAAGUUUCGGCGGUUGUGGAUGGACUCGCGGGUUACGGGCUGGUUGGUGGGGUUGUGGCUGUCCAAGGCUUUGACGGGUAGGCGGCCUGAGAGGGGGAACGGGGACAUGGGGACUGAGAGAGGGCGCAGACUGGUACGGGAGGCAGUAGGGGGGAAUAUGGCACAACGGGCGGAAGCGAGAGGUAGCAACGCCGCGUGCGGGAUGACGGCCUUCGGGUUGUAAACCGCUGUGGCCUGUGACGAAGCGGGAGUGACGGUAAUGGGUAAAGAAGCAACGGCUAACUACGUG
rnacentral:rRNA from 1 species